rnacentral:rRNA from 1 species
GUGCAUGGCAGACGGGUGAGUAACGCGUGGGGAAUCUACCUCUUUGUGGGGAAUAACGCUCCGAAAGGAGUGGUAAUACCGCAUGAGAUCCAUGGCUGGAAUGUUGUGGAUGAAACCUGGGGACCUUCGGGCCUGGGGCAAGGAGAGGAUCCUGCGUCUGAUUAGCUAGUUGGUGAGGUAACGGCCCACCAAGACAACGAUCAGUAGCCGGCCUGAGAGGGUGAUCGGCCACACUGGAACUGAGACACGGUCCAGACUCCUACGGGAGGCAGCAGUGGGGAAUUUUGCGCAAUGGGCGAAAGCCUGACGCAGCAACGCCGCGUGGGUGAUGAAGGUCUUCGGAUCGUAAAACCCUGUCGUCGGGGACGAAGGUGGAGGGGUUAAUAGCCUCUUUGCUUGACGGUACCCGGAGAGGAAGCCCCGGCUAACUCUGUGCCAGCAGCCGCGGUAAUACAGAGGGGGCAAGCGUUAUUCGGAAUUAUUGGGCGUAAAGGGCGCGUAGGCGGCUUUUUAAGUGAGAUGUGUAAUCCCUGAGCUCAACUUGGGAACUGCAUCUCAUACUGGGAGGCUAGAGUACUGGAGAGGGUGGUAGAAUUCCACGUGUAGCGGUGAAAUGCGUAGAGAUGUGGAGGAAUACCAGUGGCGAAGGCGGCCACCUGGACAGUAACUGACGCUGAGGCGCGAAAGUGUGGGUAGCAAACAGGAUUAGAUACCCUGGUAGUCCACACUGUAAACGAUGAACACUUGGUGUGGAGGGAGUUGACCCCUUCCGUGCCGUAGCUAACGCGUUAAGUGU